CUGCCGUGUAACAAACGGCUGGUCCGAAAGAUAUUAGCUGAUCCUAGCGAAGCUUGGUUCUACUCGGCGUGAUAAUUAUCUGACGUCGAGGACAUCGCAAGAUGGCCAAAAUUUGUUUUAUGGAUUGCUUCUAAUCGUCUUCAUCGACAACACAUCAUCAAUCUGACCUCGAAUCAGGUGGGACUACCCGCUGAACUUAA
rnacentral:misc_RNA from 1 species